CAGUAGCCGCGGGAAUACGUAGGGUGCGAGCGUUAAUCGGAAUGACUGGGCGUAAAGGGCGCGUAGGCGGCGGCCAAAGUCAGGCGUGAAAUUCCCGGGCUCAACCUGGGGGCUGCGUUUGAUACUUGGUUGCUUGAGUGGGGAAGAGGGUCGUGGAAUUCCCAGUGUAGAGGUGAAAUUCGUAGAUAUUGGGAAGAACACCGGUGGCGAAGGCGGUGACCUGGUCCUUGACUGACGCUGAGGCGCGAAAGCGUGGGGAGCAAACAGGAUUAGAUACCCCUGUAGUCCCUGUCUCUAUACC
rnacentral:rRNA from 1 species